rnacentral:rRNA from 1 species
CAGUAGCCACGGGAAUACGAAGGGUGCAAGCGUUACUCGGAAUUACUGGGCGUAAAGCGUGCGUAGGUGGUGGUUUAAGUCCGUUGUGAAAGCCCUGGGCUCAACCUGGGAAUUGCAGUGGAUACUGGAUCACUAGAGUGUGGUAGAGGAUAGUGGAAUUUCCGGUGUAGCAGUGAAAUGCGUAGAGAUCGGAAGGAACAUCUGUGGCGAAGGCGACUAUCUGGGCCAACACUGACACUGAGGCACGAAAGCGUGGGGAGCAAACAGGAUUAGAGACCCCCGUAGUCCCUGUCUCUUAUAC